rnacentral:lncRNA from 1 species
UGCAAGGUCCUUCAGGGCUCUGCCAUGUUGGCGGAGUCCGCCUGAGAAGAUGACAAUCCCUCGUACUUCUGUCACCUCCCUUGUCUCUGCAAAUAAGUGCCCUGGUGGAAAAGCCAGCCAUUUCAGUCACCA